ACCAUGGAUGUGUGCCCAUGUGCACACGCAUAAGCACAACCAGACUGGGCAGAUGGAAAGAGCACAAGAGAAAAAACAGUAAUUUCUCUUACCACUACUAGGCUGAGGCCUAGGCUGACAUAAAGGGACAUAUGACACAUAUAGGCUGGCUACAAGAACCAUUAUUUUGACCCUGACAGUUAUAGAGCAUGUUCCAGGCCUCAAGACGAGUACCCCACUGAAAAUAUAGGGUUGUGUCUUCUGAAAUGAGAAAGAGACCUUAUAUAAAAUUUUAUUUGGGGGAAAAUGAUGCCAACAGUUUGACUACAUUUAAUCUUACAUAAGAAAAGUACAUGGGUCUUUGGGUCAAGAAAAUAGCCAGACCUGUUUUCCUUGCAAUCUACAUGUCACUAACAAUUGAAAAUAGUAAGAGAGUAAAGCUGAAUACAAGGGCAAAAUAUACUGAGCAAUACUGGUCUAAAGGA